rnacentral:rRNA from 1 species
GACGAACCGAGCGAACGUUGUUCGGAAUCACUGGGCUUAAAGGGCGCGUAGGCGGGCAUUCAAGUCCGUGGUGAAAUCCGGCAGCUCAACUGUCGAACUGCCGCGGAUACUGGGUGUCUCGAGGGAGGUAGGGGCGUGCGGAACUAUUGGUGGAGCGGUGAAAUGCGUUGAUAUCAAUAGGAGCUCCGGUGGCGAAGGCGGCACGCUGGACCUUUUCUGACGCUGAGGCGCGAAAGCCAGGGGAGCAAACGGG